rnacentral:rRNA from 1 species
AUUGAACGCUGGCGGCAGGCCUAACACAUGCAAGUCGAGCGGAUGAAGGGAGCUUGCUUCUGGAUUCAGCGGCGGACGGGUGAGUAAUGCCUAGGAAUCUGCCUGGUAGUGGGGGAUACCGUUCGGAAACGGGCGCUAAUACAGCAUACGUCCUGAGGGUGAAAGUGGGGGAUCUUCGGACCUUACGCUAUCAGAUGAGCCUAGGUUGGAUUAGCGAGUUGGUGGGGUAUAGGCCUACCAAGGCGAGGAUCCGUAACUUAUCUGGGAGGAUGAUCAGUGACGCUGGGAGUGGAACACGGGCCAGACUGCGACGGGGGGCAGCAGUAGGGUAUAUUGGGCAGUGGGCGUGAGCCUGUUCCGGCCAUGCCGCAUGUGUUGAGAAGGUCUUCGGGUUGUGAAGCACUUUAAGUAGGGGGGGAGGGCAUUAAGUUAAUACCAAGCUGUUUUGACGUUACCAACAGAAUAAGCACCGGCUAACUUCGUG